rnacentral:rRNA from 1 species
UACGGAGGGGGCUAGCGUUGUUCGGAAUUACUGGGCGUAAAGCGCGCGUAGGCGGACCUGCAAGUCGGGGGUGAAAGCCCGAGGCUCAACCUCGGAACUGCCUUCGAUACUGCGGGUCUCGAGUCCGGGAGAGGUGAGUGGAAUUCCUAGUGUAGAGGUGAAAUUCGUAGAUAUUAGGAAGAACACCAGUGGCGAAGGCGGCUCACUGGCCCGGUACUGACGCUGAGGCGCGAAAGCGUGGGGAACAAACAGG